GAUGAACGCUGGCGGCGUGCUUAACACAUGCAAGUCGAACGAUGAAGCCCAGCUUGCUGGGUGGAUUAGUGGCGAACGGGUGAGUAACACGUGAGUAACCUGCCCUUAACUCUGGGAUAAGCCUGGGAAACUGGGUCUAAUACCGGAUAGGAGCGUCCACCGCAUGGUGGGUGUUGGAAAGAUUUAUCGGUUUUGGAUGGACUCGCGGCCUAUCAGCUUGUUGGUGAGGUAAUGGCUCACCAAGGCGACGACGGGUAGCCGGCCUGAGAGGGUGACCGGCCACACUGGGACUGAGACACGGCCCAGACUCCUACGGGAGGCAGCAGUGGGGAAUAUUGCACAAUGGGCGCAAGCCUGAUGCAGCGACGCCGCGUGAGGGAUGACGGCCAUCGGGUUGUAAACCUCUUUCAGUAGGGAAGAAGCGAAAGUGACGGUACCUGCAGAAGAAGCACCGGCUAACUACGUG
rnacentral:rRNA from 1 species